rnacentral:lncRNA from 1 species
AUGUUUUAAUCCUGCCAGGAGUUUCCGUGAGGUUUUUUCAGUGGGAUUAUUUGUGUCCCUGUGGCUCUUCAGGGAGCUUGCAGAAUUCUAGCUAAAGAUAAGAAGGGCAUCGCUUCAAAUGGGAGGCCAAUCAAUGCAGCAUUAGGAAGGCUUCAUUCAGCUCAGCACCACCUUGGUGAAGAUCCCGGUGUUACACAUCCAAUCGUUCACCUCCUUCCAAGACUAUGACAUUCCAGGAAACCUUCACUGCUAAGAGGAACUAAGAUCUAGAGUAUCUCCUCGAGGAAGUACAACUGGAUUCUCCCUCCUUGGUUCUUCCCUGGACCAAGGACAGAAGAAUCAUUCAACACAGAGGCUAUUGACAAAAGGGGCAUAUUUGGUGCAAACAGGGGUAAUUAAUAAGAAGUCCAGUGGCUCACACCUGCGAUCCCAGCACUUUGGGAGGCUGAGAUGGGCAGAUUGCUCGAGCCCAGGAAUUCAAGACCAACCUGGGCAACAUGGCAAAACCCCAUCUCUACAAAAAUACAAAAAUUAACCAGAUGUGAUGGUUCAUGCCUGUAGUCCCAGCUACUCUGGAGGCUGAUGUGGGAGGAUCGCUUGAGCCUAGGAAGUCAAGGCUGCAGUGAGUCAUGAUUGCUCCGCUCCACUGCACUCUGGCCUUGAUGAUAGAGUGAGAACCAGUCUCAAAAAAAAAAAGGUCAUUUUCUAAGCAUUUGUUGAUUCAAUACUGCCCACUAUGUACACUGACAAUUAGACAUAAUUUAAUUUCAGCUCAUGGUAUGAAUGGAGACAAAAUGAAAUCAUUUUAAUGCACAUUAAGGCAAUAUAGUGCCCUUAAAUAAAAAGUUGAAGUUCA